rnacentral:misc_RNA from 1 species
UCCUCACAUUUGUCAAUAAACUCCGUGUUAAAAGUAGCAGGUAGGUCGUAGACGUAAACAUAACCGGAUUGACAGUCCGGGUUGAGUGCUAGCAGCUGUUGUGAGUUGGAGGGCGGUGGAUGAGGUGGAGAGGAGCGGAUGAGGAAGAAUAGGAUUAAGAUCUGGAGUAAUAUGGUAAUGAGAAGCCAUACACAGUGAGUUAAAGGGAUUUGAGAUUUGACGCUGUGGAAAGCGUGUUUGAGCUCAAAG